ACAGUGCCUCAUUUCUCUUUAAUUUGAAUCAAUUCUUUUCUCUAAUGGAGGCAUUUGGCAGAGAGCAAGAGCAGAGGAGAGUGAGAUCAGAGAUGAGAUUGAGAGAGAGUUGGGCCGAGGGAGCUUAACCGAGGCAUCGCACGAGAGAGAGCUUGUGGGAGAGAAAGGAAGAGCUUGAUGGCCGAUAUUGGCUAUGGCGGUAGCAGCCUUUUGCUGCUGUGCAGUGGCCGAAAGCCUUCGCGAGGGAGAGAAAACAGAGCAUUGCCAAGAGAGAGGGAACCAGGCAGAGAGCGUGCACGAGAAAGGGAGAUUAAGAGAGGGAGAAGGCCGGCGUUGGUCGGUUUUGCAGCAGCUGGAGGUGGAGCAAGGCCGAGCGGCCAUGGCCGCGGUGCUAGAGCUUGGGGCGUGGCAAUGGAGGCUGAGGCAGAAGCUGCUGGUGGAAGUCGCGCAAGCAACGUCUGAGGCGGUGGCCAGCGACGAGUGAAGCAGCGGCAGUGGUGGCCUAGAGCAGCGACUCGGCCAUGGAAGCAUUGCACGCAAGGGAGGCCGGAGCUGGCAGCUGGUUCGCGGCGGUCCUAGGCGGCGUGGUGCGAUCGGCAGUGGCUGUUGGUGGCAGAGUCGGCAGCGGGAGUGACAGGUAGAGGCCGGUGGUGCGGCCGCGUGAGGGUGGUUGUGCAUUGUGAGGAAGAAGAAGAUCGAAGGAAGAGGGAGCAGUCGCGAGAGUGAAGAAAUGAAGAAGACGAUGAAUAGUGAGGAGAAAAAGAAAAUAAAAAAAAUAGAAAUAAAGAAAAUCUGGGAAAAAGGGAAAAAAAUAGGAGAAAAAUCCAGAAAAGUUCUGGAAAUUAUUUCGAGACUCGUGGAGCAUACUGGAAGCUCAAGAAUGGGAUUCUGAGUGCAAGUGGCAGCUCGAGAGGCAAUGCCGGUGUGGGCGGUUGGCCGAUUUUCGUUUCCAAAUUGUCCGAGGUUUGAUCGGGGAGGUGGUGAUCCUAGAGGAACUAGAGGUUCGGGCUGGAAUUCAGGCCGAGGCAGAGAUGAGGCUUCGAGCCAGAUGAUGCAAGUUCGGAUGCAAGCAGGGAUGGCGCCGGGAGGCCGUUGUGGCAACUAGCUGAGUUGCCCGAGUUAUGUAUUUUUAAUAUUGCUUGUAUGUAGCCAGGGGGCGCGGUGUAUGUAUACCCUUGUGAGUAAAUGUCUGUGUUAUUGAGCUUAAAUUUAUUUAAUUGUGUAAUCAUCAUAGUGUGAUAAAUGAUUGUGAGAUUACUUGUUGAAUGUGGCAUAGUCGGUAAAGCAAAGUUUUCGGACCGAGUCAAGAUCAACAAGGUAUGUUCUCAUAAAUCCCCAAUACUCAGCGAAGUGUUUGUAUGCUAGCUUUGUGCCUGGGUCACCUCUGGCUUGCUAUGGGGUGAGCUGAAGAGAGGUGAAGCUCACUCGGGUUUCGGGUCUUGGUCCGCUGGAUUUUUCUUAUUUGAGUUGGGACCGAUUCCUGAGUGGAGCGAAGGGAAGGACGAAGCCUAGUUCCCACCUAGGGCGUUUCCUGUUGAAAGAUAGUCCAACCCUUCAGUUGUGGUUGUCGGGUGAGUAAUCUGGUCGAUUAUUUACCGGUGGCGCCUGUAAGUGGGAGCGGGUCGUUACAAGUACUUCAUAUUUCAAACUUACUCAUAUUGAGAAACGACAAGCACACAGAUAUGUGUUGAUGAAUUCAGAACUAGUCGAUCGGUUUGUGAAGUGAGUUCGUACAUAAAAGAUAUAUAAUUUAUCAAAAUCCCUUAUUUUCCUAUCUUGUUGCGUUGAUGACUUAAUUUUAUAUAGGGAAUUUAGAGAGAUAACCAAGAGAAGGCUCAGGAAUCGAACCCGAUCAACUAUAGAGAUUAAAAGAACAGUACAUCGAGAAUUCAUUGAUUGGUUCUCUAAGCGUGGAGGUUUUCCAUUGAUAUAUUUUAUUAAGAACAAUAUUUCAAUCAUGAAAAAUUGUACUUAUCGAUUUCCUUUUGUUUCAUUUUAGAUUAUGAAUGAUGAAAAUAAAUCCCAUUCAGAUGAUCUCAAGUGCCUUGCACAAGGGCCAUUGCAACGUGCCAGACGAUUUAGUGCAUAUAAUGUCAAUGGAUUCAAAUUUUGAACUAUGGAACGAGAACAUAGCUUGAAAACUCAAAAUAGUGGAGUUUUUGUGAUUUCUGGAACAAGAAGUCAUUCUAGAAUCAGUGACAACAACCCAGUUAAUGGAGAUGUUAAUUAUUAUGGAAAAUUGGUAGAUAUAAUCGAGCUUAAUUACUAUGGUCGAUUCAGGAUUAUUCUAUUCAAGUGUAAAUAGGCCAAUACCAAAACUGAUAGAGGGAUCAGACAAGAUGCUUUGCAGUUUACUUUAGUGAAUUUCUCUCGAUUGAUACAUACUGGUGAGCGUGAAGAAGAUGAACCUUAUAUUAAAGCUUCACAAGCGCAACAAGUGUACUAUGUUAAAGAUGUUGUAGAAAAGGAUUGGAGUGCAGUUGUACAUUUAAAACCAAGAGAUUUGUAUGAUAUGGGUGAAGACACUGAAGAGACAUUCUAUGAGAACGAGCCAUAUCAAGCACAAGACUUAGGGUUAUUUUUUCCUAAUGAUACUGGAAUUCUGUCACUUGCAAGAGCACAAAUAGAUGAUGAUCCAAUGCCUAAUGUUGAAAAUGUUGAU